rnacentral:lncRNA from 1 species
CUGUUGCCAGGCUGGAGUGCAGUGGUGCCAUCUAGGCUCACUGCAACCUCUGCUUGCCUGGUUCAAGCAAUUCCCCUGCCUCAGCCUCCCGUGUAGCUGGGACUACAGGCGCGUGAGGAUUUCCUAAUUUUUUAAGGUAGCAGAAGACAGCACCUGCUGUGAAUCCAGGUUCUACUGGGAAGUCCUAGCUCCUCACCUCUGGUACCUCUUUAUUCUUUCAGCCCUACAGACUGUACUGACACCAUAUAAUUGCUAAUUUCUGAGUUGGCUCAUCAUCCUCAAUUUUAAUCCAUCUGAUGUUUUUAUAACUAGCUCCCUGCAGUAAGUACUUUGUAAUGAACUAUUUGAUGUGAGUCUGUCUUCCCCACUGGAUCCUCAUACACGUGGAAAAUACAGCACUAAAUUUAGUACAUUUUGUAGAGAAUAUUAGUCAUUAGUACUUGCAUUUACCUUCUCUGUUUCUAGAGGUUGGCUUCUUUGCAAAAGGAUUGUUUUGAUUCUGCUUAAUAUUUUGCAUUUUAUAUGAAAACUGACAUAAAUUAAUCUGCAUAAGCAUUAUAAUUUAGCACUUUAUAUUUGGUCAAUACUUUGUAAAUAUUAGUUAGUGAAAGAAACACUAAUUUUUAUAGGAAUGUAAUACAAAACUAUGAACCGGGGUCCACAAAGUUUUUCUGUAAAGGGCCAGUUAGUAAACACUUUAAGCUUUGCAGGCCAUAUAAUCUCUGCCACAACUACUUAACUCUGCUGCUGUACCAUGAAUGCAGUAAUAGACAAUAUGUAAACAAGUGAGCAUGGCUGUGUUCCAAUAAAACUUUAUUUACAAAAAAGGUAGUGGGUUUGAUUUGUCCCACAAACCAUAGUUUAUUGACCCUGCUGUAAACUAUCUAGACUUUUGAUUCCGUAUGCUCCGUUGAUAUCUCAUAUACACACUGCAUGUGUCUAUAUUAUUUUAUAUAAAAGAAAAACAUACAGUUUUCUUCUCCCAAAGUAAGUCAAUUUUUCAAAGAUCUGGUAACGUUUACACUCUCAGUAUUUCAUUCUUUCAAAAGAUUGAUAUCUUAGGGAAAAAAAGGUCAUUAAGCCAAAACAUUAGACCUCAGGGAUAAACCUGCAGAAAAUUGAUUGAGUGAUCAAACCAACUUACUCUUUUGUAAAAGUCUCCCUGCCCUCUUAUUCAGAAGGAUGAAUGAUAUCUCGACAAUGAGCCAGGAUUUUUUAUUUUCAGCAUCAAAUUUUUGUUCUACUUCUCAAACAUUCUCCCCAAAUAUCAAAUACUUAAAAAAUGAAAUUGUUUUAGUCCCACAUAGUUAACAAAGAACAUAUGAACUAUUUACAUUUCCACUAAACUUAGUCAUUUUGAAGGCACAUUCCAGUUUGUUUUAUUUUCCUUAACAUCCAAUUUAGUUUCUGUCUCC